GUCCUGCAAGAAGGCUUAUAAUGUGAUAAGAAAACCAAGAAAGAAACCAAAUUAAGAGCAAGCUGAUCAGCAAACACUCUGUCACUGCAAUCUCUUUUAAAGCUUCAGGCAAACAUGUGAGUUUAGUCUAUUUUCACUCAUUCUGACAGAUAGAAAACAAGAUAAACAGUAACACUGUUGACAGAUUUGUUAAUUUUCAUACCAAUAUCCAGAAAAUACCCAAAAGUACAGCCACUGAAUCAGAUUUAUUUCUGUGACUGAACAAUAUCUUAAAGUAAACAUGCGCCAUCGUAAAGUAAACAUGCGCCAUCCCAAUUAUAUGGUAUUAGAAAAACACGAUGGAGGAUUGUCACCCCUAAAAAUCCAGCUGGGCUCAGCGUUGACUCUUCUGACAUGAUCCCCAAUCUUCAGACAACAAACUUUGACAUGUAGUCAGGCAACAAAUUUUUUAGAAGAAACUUAGUAUAUUAAAGGAGGAUAAAAAUUGCCAUUGGGUUACAAUUGGUGCCCUCAAGUCUCAAAAAUGUUAGGGGGCACUAAUUCGAGCACCCAUAGGGCCCAUUUAUCCCCUUGUAAAAAAUGUGGAAGAGGGGUAGAUAUAUCCGGCAAUAAUUAAAAAAAUGAAGAGUAAAAAUUACAAGGGUGUAUCAAGUGUCCACAGAUAUAAUCAAAAAGAGAGAAAAGGGCGAAGGGAAAUAAUCUACAAAGCCCAUCCAAUAACCCCAAAGAUUAUUACAUCCUUCCCUUAUCCAAAAUCAAUCUACACAAAGGGAAAUAAUCUACAAAGCCCAUCCAAUAACCCCAAAGAUUAUUACAUCCUUCCCUUAUCCAAAAUCAAUCUACACAAAAUUAACCCAAGACCACUGUACUCAGGCAACAAUUUGCCCACCUUGAUUUUUCAGGCAUAAAUAAAUGAAAAGCCAACUUGAAGAAGAUACAAAACAAAUUACCU
rnacentral:lncRNA from 1 species